CCUCAGAUGAGCUCCUUUAGGUCCACAGCAGCAUUAUCAGGCUGGCAGCCAUCGACUAACAGAGACGAUCAUAGUUCAGUUACCACAGGCUGGAAGGAGGAGGCACAGCAUAAGGAAAGAGGAGGACAGGGAAGGAGAGCACCUCCCCACCUCUGCGCCUUCGAGCACAGGCCCGUGAACCAGCGGGGUGGAACCGUUCAAUCCACUGGGGAAGCGGAAGCCACCCGGCCGGAGCUUAGCAACAGGAACGGCGAGCCCACCUCCCCCGGGACCCUGGCGGGUGGGGCACGUUCAUUAGCAGCGUCUUGGGCUGGAUUAAAAAUUCAUGCUGUUUACGACAACAAAGGACUCAGAUGGUCACACACACCGAUCCAAGGUGCGAUGGUCCUUCAGACCAGAAACCAGCGCUGUACAACAGAAAUAUCACCAUGCUGAGGAGAGUGAAUGUUUCACGCCAAGGCCAUUGUGAAGAGAACCCUGUGCUCAAGGGGCCUGAAGAAGAGUAUCCGUGACAACAACGGGAAGUGGUGGGGGUCGCCUGAGGUGUCCCUCGUCCGCUUGACCCCAUGUGUGAGGGGGUGAAAGGUCAGGAGCCGGGUGUCAGCAAGGGCAUCCCCUGCUGAUAUGCUCAAGUUUGGUGUUGAAGUCAUGUUGGGGAAUGUGAGAGACGCUCUGGUGAAUGGAGGCAUCUGUCUCCAGCGACGGUCUGCGCCGAUGCUGUUUGGAGGGGUUCUUAGGCAAGACGAGCCCCUGAAGGUUUCUGCUCAAAUUUAAAUCUUAUGACACAGAUCGGCAGGUGUUGCAGCAUGUAGAACGUUUGGCUUGAGGAUGAAAAGUCUCCUAAUGUUGUACCUUUGAACAGAAAAUUGUUUUAGCAGAACCAUUCAGGUCAGAUAACAAUGACAACUCCAGCAUUCGAGUCCCUUGACAGCCGACAUAACAAAAUAAAUAAGUGUGUGAUUGGCAUGAACCAGCCAAUGGGCUGCAAACAAUGGGAAGGUUUUUGGAGGAAAUUAGAUGGAUGUAAGUUGGUGCAGUAGGUCACUGAGUAACACCAGUAUCAUUGCAAAGCAACAAGGUCAUAGAAAAGUCAUUACAUCAAAUAUAGCAUUUCUCUUUGUGCUCUUGCCAUUUGAUUAUCUAGAAUAUAGGAAUGUGCUUUCAUAUUUCACUCUAAAUACAAUUAAGUAUAUUAAUUUGGAGUGGCAGGUGUGACGGCAUCCAACCUCUUUGGGAAGCUCAGGAGAGCUGAGAAUGGCUUAUCAGCUCAAUAGCUGUGGUGUCCAACUCCCCCUAUGUACCUGCUAUUUCUCCAGGGCUCCUGCUUCCCCCCACAAUCACACAUGCCGUUAGGCAAGCUGGAGCCUCUACAUUGGUACAUAGUGUAAGCCUUGCAAUGGACUGACUGGCAUCCCAUCCAGGGUGUCUCCUGGUGGACUUGUGUCCCAUCUAGGGUGUCCCCAGUGUCCCCUAUGUCACGUCCUCUGCUUACUGGGAUAUUCUCCAGGGUCUCUAUGACUCAUAUCCUCUGUUAAUAGCUUCAAAAAAUGAGUGGGACUACAGUAAAGAGUGUAUUGCUUCAUAUUUCUGACUUUGAUAAUGGUGCCGCAGCAUCGACAGCCUUCAUGGUUAUUGAUCUUGGUCCAAAUUAAAUUAACAACUCAGUUCAAAGGUCUCAUAGCCAAAUGUAUGUUUAAUAUGUCCACAAGGGGCAGGCUUUAGUCUCUCCGGGUUUCCAUUAAGCUGGUGCUCUUUUAUGCCCCAGCUCCUGACAGCGUUCUUCAAAGAGUGGAAAGGGGAGCAGGACCGCGGGGAGCCGUCAGCGGCGUGUGCGAGCCGGGCUCAGCUCAUUAGGCAGCAAGGCGGUACCGGUACCAGCCAGGCCAGUCCGGGGCUCCUCAGCAAACGGCCUGUGCCUGUGGCAGCCUGGGCAACCAGACUGAGCGUGCUGUCCCAAAACUGCAAGGUUGCCUGGCGAUUUGACCCGAAACAGCUGGAAACAGCAGGACGUGUCACUGGAGCAUUUUACAGAAUGGUUCUCUGGCUAAACACCCCCCCGCCUCUGCCCCGGACAUCACUUAAGGCGGCACCUUGGGGUGGCAGAGGGGGGGGGGGGCAAACCCAAAGGUUACGCUGGACAUUUUUUCUAGAUGGCAGCCUUGUCAUGGAUUGUGUCCCUGAUGUCUGUACCUUCUGCUCUGGUCUAAUGGUGUCUCUUCAUAGGCAGCUGCGGCUGCUCCCGCUCUGCGCUCGCUGUCACGGCGUCCGGAUCACAUCAGAGGCACUCAGACGACGUGAUAAUCCUCGGAAAGAGACCCUCUCCAGUUUC